UACGGAGGGUGCGAGCGUUGUCCGGAAUCACUGGGCGUAAAGGGCGCGUAGGCGGUGGCCUAAGCGUGCGGUGAAAGCCCGGGGCUCAACCCCGGGUCGGCCGUGCGAACUGGGCCACUCGAGCACUGUAGAGGCGGGUGGAAUUCCGGGUGUAGCGGUGAAAUGCGCAGAUAUCAGGAAGAACACCCGUGGCGAAGGCGGCUCUCUGGGACGGUACUGACGCUGAGACGCGAAAGCGUGGGGAGCAAACAGG
rnacentral:rRNA from 1 species